rnacentral:rRNA from 1 species
GUGCAGCAGGCGAGAAACCUCCACAAUGUGGGAAACCACGAUGGGGGGAUUCCAAGUGGAUGCACUUUUGUGCAUCCUGUUCUCAAGUCUAAAAAACUUGAGAAGUAAGGGCCGGGUAAGACGGGUGCCAGCCGCCGCGGUAAUACCCGCGGCCCGAGUGGUGCUCAUUAUUAUUGAGCCUAAAGCGUCCGUAGCUGGCCGGGUAAAUCCCUGGGGAAAUCGGGCGACUCAAUCGACCGAAGUCCAGGGACACUACUUGGCUUGGGAUCGGGAGAGGGUGAUAGUACUCCCUGGGUAGGGGUAAAAUCCUGUAAUCCAGGGGGGACUACCAGUGGCGAAGGCGAUCACCUAGAACGAAUCCGACAGUGAGGGACGAAGCCCUAGGGCGCAAACGGGAUUAGAUACCCCCGUAGUCC